UACGUAGGGGGCAAGCGUUGUCCGGAUUUAUUGGGCGUAAAGAGCGUGUAGGCGGCCAUACAGGUCCGUUGUGAAAACUGGAGGCUUAACCUCCAGACGUCGAUGGAAACCGUAUGGCUAGAGUCCGGAAGAGGAGAGUGGAAUUCCUGGUGUAGCGGUGAAAUGCGCAGAUAUCAGGAGGAACACCUAUUGCGAAGGCAGCUCGCUGGGACGUAACUGACGCUGAGACGCGAAAGCGUGGGGAGCAAACGGG
rnacentral:rRNA from 1 species